rnacentral:rRNA from 1 species
UACGAGGGGGGCAACUGUUGUUCGGAAUCACUGGGCGUAAAGGGUGCGUAGGCGGCGCGGAAAGUAGGGUGUGAAAUCCCUCGGCUCAACCGAGGAAUUGCGCCCUAAACUACCGUGCUCGAGGGAGAUAGAGGUGAGCGGAACUUAGGGUGGAGCGGUGAAAUGCGUUGAUAUCCUAAGGAACACCGGUGGCGAAAGCGGCUCACUGGAUCUCUUCUGACGCUGAGGCACGAAAGCUAGGGUAGCGAACGGG